rnacentral:rRNA from 1 species
UACGUAGGGUGCAAGCGUUAAUCGGAAUUACUGGGCGUAAAGCGUGCGCAGGCGGUUAUGCAAGACAGAUGUGAAAUCCCCGGGCUCAACCUGGGAACUGCAUUUGUGACUGCAUGGCUAGAGUGCGGCAGAGGGGGAUGGAAUUCCGCGUGUAGCAGUGAAAUGCGUAGAUAUGCGGAGGAACACCGAUGGCGAAGGCAAUCCCCUGGGCCUGCACUGACGCUCAUGCACGGAAAGCGUGGGGGAGCAAACAGG